AUUGAACGCUGGCGGCAGGCCUAACACAUGCAAGUCGAGCGGGGUUUUCGGACCUAGCGGCGGACGGGUGAGUAAUGCGUAGGAAGCUGCCCGAUAGAGGGGGAUACCAGUUGGAAACGACUGUUAAUACCGCGUAAUGUCUACGGACCAAAGUGUGGGACCUUCGGGCCACAUGCUAUCGGAUGCGCCUACGUGGGAUUAGCUAGUUGGUGAGGUAAUGGCUCACCAAGGCGACGAUCUCUAGCUGGUCUGAGAGGAUGAUCAGCCACACUGGAACUGAGACACGGUCCAGACUCCUACGGGAGGCAGCAGUGGGGAAUAUUGGACAAUGGGCGCAAGCCUGAUCCAGCCAUGCCGCGUGUGUGAAGAAGGCCUUCGGGUUGUAAAGCACUUUCAGCGAGGAGGAAGGGUGGUGUGUUAAUAGCACAUCAUUUUGACGUUACUCGCAGAAGAAGCACCGGCUAACUCUGUGCCAGCCGCCGCAGUAACAC
rnacentral:rRNA from 1 species